CGCGCGGGCGGUAGCAAUACCGUUAGCGGCGGACGGGUGAGGAACACAUAGGAAUUUGCCUUUAGGUGGGGGAUAGCCCAGGGAAACUUGGAGUAAUACCGCAUGAUGUCGCAAGACCAAAGCAGGGGAUCGCAAGAUCUUGCGCCUUUAGAGGAGCCUAUGUCUGAUUAGCUAGUUGGUAGGGUAAUGGCCUACCAAGGCGACGAUCAGUAACUGGUCUGAGAGGACGAUCAGUCACACUGGAACUGAGACACGGUCCAGACUCCUACGGGAGGCAGCAGUGGGGAAUAUUGGACAAUGGGCGCAAGCCUGAUCCAGCAAUGCCGCGUGUGUGAAGAAGGCCUUCGGGUUGUAAAGCACUUUAGGCCGGGAAGAAAAAAUCAGGGCUAAUAUCCUUGAUCUUGACGGUACCGGAAGAAUAAGCACCGGCUAACUCUGUGCCAGCAGCCGCGGUAAUACAGAGGGUGCGAGCGUUAAUCGGAUUUACUGGGCGUAAAGCGUGUGUAGGUGGUUGUUCAAGUCGGUUGUGAAAUCCCUGGGCUUAACCUGGGAACUGCUUCCGAGACUGAGCGACUAGAGUACGGUAGAGGGCGGUGGAAUUUCCGGUGUAGCGGUGAAAUGCGUAGAUAUCGGAAGGACACCAAUGGCGAAGGCAGCCGCCUGGGCCUGUACUGACACUGAGACACGAAAGCGUGGGGAUCAAAC
rnacentral:rRNA from 1 species